GACGUAGGGCGCGAGCGUUGUCCGGAUUUAUUGGGCGUAAAGAGCUCGUAGGCGGUUUGUCGCGUCUGGUGUGAAAAAUCCAGGGCUUAACCCUGGACCUGCAUCGGGUACGGGCAGACUAGAGUGCGGUAGGGGGAGAUCGGAAUUCCUGGUGUAGCGGUGAAAUGCGCAGAUAUCAGGAGGAACACCGGUGGCGAAGGCGGAUCUCUGGGCCGUAACUGACGCUGAGGAGCGAAAGCAUGGGGAGCGAACAGGA
rnacentral:rRNA from 1 species